UGGUCAUGGAGUCUCUUCACAGCAGUAGAAACCCUAACUAAGUGUGGAUACAGUGGACAAAGGGAUGAGUCAUUGCAGGAGGAGCAGGAAGAUACAAGAUUUUAUCAUUCUACUAAGAAGAGCACACAGCUUCAAACUUGUAAAUUAUUUCUGGAAUUUCCUACUUAAUACCUUAGGACUGUAAUUGACUGAGUAAUGAAAACAGCUGAACGUAUUACCACAGCUAAGAGGACUCACCUGCCUCCUCAUCUCACAUCUCUAAUCACCAGGACCACCAGCCCAGGAGUGGCGGUGCUUACACAUCAAUCAUCAGACAAGAAAAUUCUCCAGAGGCUUGUCUGCAGUUUUGCCUAGGUGGAGCUCUCUGAAAGGAGCCCCAGAAGUUGCUGGUGUGGUGUGGAGCUGUGUUCCUGUCUUUGGUGACAACCCCUGCUGUGGACAGGUAUAUCUUACUGCAAUCUCAUGACAGGCUCUGAGAACAAGCCAGUCAAUCCACUUGCAAAUUCCUGAACUACAGAAGCCAUGACAGCUGUAAAGGAUUCUUGUUUAGGACUGACUUAUACUCAGAAGUAGAUAACUAAUAUAUCUCUAAACAAUACUGGAUUCCAUAAGAUAAAGAUCAAAGAGAGAAUUUAUACUGAGUAGACAGCCAACGCAGUUUGUCUUUCUCACAAUAAUAAUGUGUUAAAUAACACUUCAAAGCCUUUAAAAAUAAAUCUUAUAAUUAAAA